rnacentral:lncRNA from 1 species
CCGGCGAGCGCGGCGCCGGCCGGGACGAGCGGCCGCGGCGCGGCAAGGGCGGCCAGGCCGGCGGCAAGAGCAAGGCCAGGGGCAAGGCCAGCACCAUCACGCCGGUGGUGGGGAAGAAGCGCAAGCGCAACGUCUCCUCGGACAAUUCCGACUCGGAGGCGCUGCCGGCCCCGUCCCCGCGCCGCGACGACGACGCCACCGUGCAGGUGACCCCGGGGGCGUGGCCAGCGGGGCGUGGUCACCUGGGGGUGUGGUCACCUGGUGUGGUCACCUGGUGUGGUCACCUGGUGUGGUCAGAUGGGUGUGGUCAGAUGGGUGUGGUCAUCUGGUGUGGUCAUCUGGUGUGGUCACCUGGAAUUGGUCAUCUGGGGGUGUGGUC